rnacentral:rRNA from 1 species
GACGAACGCUGGCGGCGUGCCUAACACAUGCAAGUCGAACGAAGCAUAGCAAUAUGCUUAGUGGCGGACGGGUGAGUAACGCGUGAACAAUCUGCCCUGUACAAAGGAAUAGCCUCGGGAAACCGGGAUUAAAACCGUAUGACACUUUAGUAUCGCAUGAUAAGAAAGUCAAAUCGAUUAGAGGUAUGGGAUGAGUUCGCGUCUGAUUAGCUGGUUGGCGGGGUAACGGCCCACCAAGGCGACGAUCAGUAGCCGGCCUGAGAGGGUGAACGGCCACACUGGAACUGAGACACGGUCCAGACUCCUACGGGAGGCAGCAGUGGGGAAUAUUGCACAAUGGAGGGAACUCUGAUGCAGCGACGCCGCGUGAGUGAAGAAGGUCUUCGGAUCGUAAAACUCUGUCCUUGGUGAAGAAAGGACGGUAGCCAAGGAGGAAGCCCGGCUAACUACGUG